rnacentral:rRNA from 1 species
CUACGGGAGGCAGCAGUAGGGAAUAUUGGACAAUGGGCGAAAGCCUGAUCCAGCAAUGCCGCGUGAGUGAUGAAGGCCUUAGGGUUGUAAAGCUCUUUUACCAGGGAUGAUAAUGACAGUACCUGGAGAAUAAGCUCCGGCUAACUCCGUGCCAGCAGCCGCGGUAAUACGGAGGGAGCUAGCGUUGUUCGGAAUUACUGGGCGUAAAGCGCGCGUAGGCGGCGAUUUAAGUCAGAGGUGAAAGCCCGGGGCUCAACCCCGGAAUAGCCUUUGAGACUGGAUUGCUAGAAUCCUGGAGAGGUGAGUGGAAUUCCGAGUGUAGAGGUGAAAUUCGUAGAUAUUCGGAAGAACACCAGUGGCGAAGGCGGCUCACUGGACAGGUAUUGACGCUGAGGUGCGAAAGCGUGGGGAGCAAACAGGAUUAGAAACCCGAGUAGUCC